UACGUAGGGUGCGAGCGUUUGUCCGGAAUUAUUGGGCGUAAAGGGCUCGUAGGCGGUUUGUCGCGUCGGGAGUGAAAUCCACUGGCUUAACUGGUGGCUUGCUUUCGAUACGGGCAGACUGGAGGUAUGCAGGGGAGAACGGAAUUCCUGGUGUAGCGGUGAAAUGCGCAGAUAUCAGGAGGAACACCGGUGGCGAAGGCGGUUCUCUGGGCAUUACCUGACGCUGAGGAGCGAAAGUGUGGGGAGCGAACAGG
rnacentral:rRNA from 1 species